AUUCAACAUAUCCCCAGAUAGCUCAGAUCUGAGCGCACAUUAUUACUGAAUGGCUCUCAGAGCACACACAUACAGUUCAAUUGCCAUGGAGCCAAAGUCUUUCCCAUAGUCUUUCAUUAUACGAAUGGGCUCCAUGGCAUAGCUAUCUGGGGUAUCACUGCUCAAACAGGGCCAGCACCGAAUGACCCGGCUUUCAUGUCUUUGCAGGGGAAAAUCAAGCCUUUUAACAUGGGGCCAUAAUCCAAAGGCAACAGGCGAGCAACCAGGCUUCUCCAAUGCAAUGUGGCGAGAUUGGUCUCAUCACACUUGCAAACUUAUUUUUUAAGGUGGAUUUCCUUUCCGGCUUGUUCCAUUCUUGAAGGAUCAUGUCCCUGAUCGAGGAAUGUACCGGGAAAGUAGGUCUAUUCGGCUUUAGGUCCUCAAAGAACCUGUCAGCCUCCCUCAAUUCAGACUUCUCUUCCGUGAGACUAAGAGUGUCCCUGAGAAGGGAAAUAAGUCUAUCAAUAGACUUCGAGUCAAGAGACCUGGAGGUAUAUUCCACUUCCUCCUCACCAUCAUUUGAGACCUCUGAUAAGUCAGGGUCUUCUCCAGAGCUGGUAGACUGACUUUCGCUCUGCGUCUCUUCUUGGACCACUUGUCACCGUGGUAGACUUAAAUAAGCCACUUCCAAUAAGCAUUCCCUUCAGAGGUUCCUUCCAUGUGGUGCAGGCGACGAACAGUUAAUGCAUUUAUUGGAUUUUCCCUUGAUUUCCAUGCUGGAGAAUCCAAAUGAUUUUUUUGGGCUGAAACAAAGCCACAAGUAAACAUAUUUAUUACAGGCUCAAUCUGGCACUCUUUUUAACAACCCCCUAUCAUAAAAAUAAUAGCUCUCCAAUGUUUUCUAGAAAGGGAUCCUGCAGAGGCAGAGGGAGAAUCUAUACUAAAAAAGGAGAAUCAAAGGAAAUGUAAAACACAAGUCCCAAGAAAAGCAGAUGCAAACUGACAAGUAAAUGCCCAUAAACAAGAAACCACAAGAAUAAAACUAGGAAUCCUACCUUAUAAUGACAGAAAACCACUCCAGGCAGCCAAGCAAAAUACAGAGCAAAGGAGGAAUGUCAGAGUGCUUAGGACCGAAAUUCCCAUUACCAAUCAGCUGAUGCAGCGCACAGGCAGACAGUCAACAUCCCCAAGUUUAAAUAGAGCCGGGGAAACGGCCGGUCCGCACAUGUGCAGUCCACUGGAACACACGCUAUGCCUUCCAAAUGCUCGUGGCCAGAAUGCAUGAAUCCAUAUUACUUCCGGGUUCGCUGGACCCGGCCGCAACGGCACUUCCGCCUGUUGGAACGCUCACUGCGUUCCAGCCAACAACGCUGACACAUACAGGAGACAACAGGCAGCUAAUUAAGAGUACAACAACCGCAACAUAACACUUCAAGUCCCCAGAAAACCCUCAAAUACAUGAAAGGAAGAAAAGAGCCUGUACUGGGUCCCCCCAACAGGAAGGACCCGACUCCAGCAUGGAUCCCAAAGAACUGCCAC